rnacentral:tRNA from 1 species
GGCUCGGUAGGCAAUCGGUAGACCACUUUCGUUCAGACCGAGAGAUGCUGUGGGUUCGAAUCCCACCUGAGCCA